UAGGGAAUCUUCCGCAAUGGACGCAAGUCUGACGGAGCAACGCCGCGUGAGUGAAGAAGGAUUUCGGUUCGUAAAACUCUGUUGUUAGAGAAGAACAGCGCAUAGAGUAACUGUUAUGCGUGUGACGGUAUCUAACCAGAAAGCCACGGCUAACUACGUGCCAGCAGCCGCGGUAAUACGUAGGUGGCAAGCGUUGUCCGGAUUUAUUGGGCGUAAAGCGAGCGCAGGCGGUCAAUUAAGUCGGAUGUGUAAGCCCCCGGCUCAACCGGGGAGGGUCAUUGGAAACUGGGUAACUGGGGUGCAGAAGGGAGGAGUGGAAUUCCAUGUGUAGCGGUGAAAUGCUUAGAUAUAUGGAGGAACACCAGUGGCGAAGGCGACUCGCUGGUCUGUAACUGACGCUGAGGCUCGAAAGCGUGGGUAGCAAACAGG
rnacentral:rRNA from 1 species